GACGAACGCUGGCGGCGUGCUUAACACAUGCAAGUCGAACGGAAAGGCCCUGCUUUUGUGGGGUGCUCGAGUGGCGAACGGGUGAGUAACACGUGAGUAACCUGCCCUUGACUUUGGGAUAACUUCAGGAAACUGGGGCUAAUACCGGAUAGGAGAUCCUGCUGCAUGGUGGGGGUUGGAAAGUUUCGGCGGGUGGGGAUGGACUCGCGGCUUAUCAGCUUGUUGGUGGGGUAGUGGCUUACCAAGGCAUUGACGGGUAGCCGGCCUGGGAGGGUGACCGGCGACAUUGGUACUGAGAUACGGCCCAGAGUCCUACGGGAGGCAGCAGUGGGGAAUAUUGCACAAUGGGCGGAAGCCUGUUACAGCAACGCCGCGGGCGGGAUGACGGCCUUCGGGUUGUAAACCGCUUUCGCCUGUGACGAAGCGUGAGUGACGGUAAUGGGUAAAGAAGCACCGGCUAACUACGUG
rnacentral:rRNA from 1 species